UUCAAUUAUCAACCAUACUCGGUAGCCGGAGAUCACAUCGAACACCUUCGGAUACAGAGCUCACAUAGCAGAGACGGAGACGCAUGUUAAAAAGUAGUACUACUACCCCCAUGAAAUUCUAGUGCCGCUAGUUUCCCAUCAACUCUACAUGAAAUUCUUAAAACGAAACAACUAUAGUACCUGAACAUAGAAAAAAGGAAAAGGAUCUGGGCAAAGUAACCACCACCACCACCACUUGCUAUGUCCAAAAGCAUGGGCUCGUCGCCGCCGGGUCGCGCGCCUC
rnacentral:lncRNA from 1 species